UCCUUAACCUACACUGCUUCUUCAACCAUCUCCUGCGUUUUGUAUUUUUUGAGCCUUUCUACAUGGCUUCAAGAUCUUAUUUUGUGGUUCUUCAUGAUUAUACAAGAGCCAAAAGAGAAUGUGCUUUGAUAAGGAACUUUGUAGAUGAAUACAUUGAUUUCAUCUCCACUGGUCGUGCACACGGAGCAGUGGUUUUGAUCCAGCUUGGGAAAGGAAAGACGCACCCACGUGUAAAUCACGAGGCGGAUCACGCUCCCACUUGCAGUAACUGUGAAGGAUUAUAAGGACCUUAGUCAAGUUUUUGCCUGCAGGUUGGUUCAUGUGAAGUUGUUCGCCAAUGUUGUGAAAAACUAUAUAACAAAGUUAACUUUGUAUAACUAUGUCCAUACAUGAGUUAAAGAGGGUCUCCUGGUUAAUUUCAUA